UUGCUUUACCUCUUCACUUCACCUGGCUUUGGCACCUCUGUCAUUUCUUCAUUUACUGUUUUUUCUAGCAUACUUUUAACUUCUUUCUGUACUUUCUCUUUCCAACUGCUGUCCACAUGCCACCUGUGUAUAGAAUCCCAAGAAAACAUAACCCACCAUUAGAAUUUUAGUUGCUAAACUAUAUAAGAACUUUGAGCUGUAGAUUAACAUCCUCUACCUUCCUUUGGUGCCAUUUGUUUACCCCUUUUUCCGAACAAAAAACAAUACCUGCCCCUGUUCCAAAGGUGUCUUACUAUUCCAAUAAAGAAUGCAUGCCUGGGAAUAAAAAGAAGCUUAGACUACUGUUCCAAUGGAGCUAAGUGUUCAAAGAAAUUCCUGAAUUCAUUUCCUGGGGGAAAAAAUGUGGUUAGUGACCUGGAAACUACUAACAACUUAUAAAACUCAAUACUCUGAUGGCGACUCUGUUCGCUUUACCCCUAAGACAUCUUGAAAGGAAAGACUUUUGUCAGAGUUGGGCUUCUAAAGUUUUAAUAGGAAAUUGAG
rnacentral:lncRNA from 1 species